rnacentral:misc_RNA from 1 species
UGGCUCACGCAUCGAUGAAGAACGCAGCGAAAUGCGAUAAGUAAUGUGAAUUGCAGAUUUCAGUGAAUCAUCGAAUCUUUGAACGCACCUUGCACCUUCUGGUAUUCCGGAAGGUACAUCUGUUUGAGUGUCAUUAAUCAAUCAACUGCUCCAUUCUUUUUAAGAGUGUGUUUAGUUGGAUGUGAAGGCUGCAGGCUGCAAGGCCAGCUCCUUUGAAAUGCAUUAGCUGGGAACUAGUACAUGGUUUCAAGUGCUUUGAUGCCUGAAGACCUCCUGGUGAGAUAAUUGUCUACGCCGUUGGUUUAGUCAUUGCACAUAUUUGGACUAUGGAAUGGGCCUGCUUCUAACUGUCUCAUUGCGAGACUAGUCCGCUACAGGGCUACUAUUGACCAGUGUGACCUCAAAUCAGAUGGGACUACCCGCUGA